GCAAACUUGGUCAUUUAGAGGAAGUAAAAGUCGUAACAAGGUUUCCGUAGGUGAACCUGCGGAAGGAUCAUUACCUAUGCCACCCGGCCCGACUCUGUCGGGAAGGGGCAUGCUGCUCCUCUCCGCCCUGCUGCCCGCUGUUCGCAGCGGCAGAAUGGCGUGAGCUGAGGCUGAACCCUCUGUGAACCUUCGACCUUCUGCUUCGGCAGCACGCUGCAUCAUGUCGGGUCCCGCCUAAGCUGUUGCUUGGGAGGGAUGCGCCCCCUGUCGCAGCGGUAAGGCUGCCGAAAGCCCAACCAUUUAAGAACUUUAACCCUGUUUAUCAAAAGAAACUGUUGAGUCUGAUAUCGUAUAAUGGUUUACAUAAGUUAAAACUUUCAGCAACGGAUCUCUUGGUUCCCGCAUCGAUGAAGAACGCAGC
rnacentral:misc_RNA from 1 species